rnacentral:tRNA from 1 species
UAACUUUUGGUGUAUGGCACGUUAAAUUUUGAUUUUAAAAGAAAUAAUUCAUUUUAUUAAAGUUAA